GAUGAACGCUGGCGGCGUGCCUAAUACAUGCAAGUCGAGCGAACAGACGAGAGUGCUUGCACUCUCUGACGUUAGCGGCGGACGGGUGAGUAACACGUGGGUAACCUACCUAUAAGACUGGGAUAACUUCGGGAAACCGGAGCUAAUACCGGAUAAUAUUUAGCUUCGCAUGAUGCAAUAGUGAAAGACGGUUCUGCUGUCACUUAUAGAUGGACCCGCGGUGUAUUAGCUAGUUGGUGAGGUAACGGCUCACCAAGGCAACGAUACAUAGCCGACCUGAGAGGGUGAUCGGCCACACUGGGACUGAGACACGGCCCAGACUCCUACGGGAGGCAGCAGUAGGGAAUCUUCCGCAAUGGACGAAAGUCUGACGGAGCAAUGCCGCGUGAGUGAAGAAGGUUUUCGGAUCGUAAAACUCUGUUGUAAGGGAAGAACAAGUACGUUAGUAACUGAACGUACCUUGACGGUACCUUACCAGAAAGCCACGGCUAACUACGUG
rnacentral:rRNA from 1 species